GACGAACGCUGGCGGCGUGCCUAAUACAUGCAAGUAGAACGCUGAAGCUUGGCGCUUGCACCGAGCGGAUGAGUUGCGAACGGGUGAGUAACGCGUAGGUAACCUGCCUGGUAGCGGGGGAUCACCAUGGGAAACGAUAGCUAAUACCGCAUAAGAGUAGAUGUUGCAUGACAUUUGCGUAAAAGGUGCAAUUGCAUCACUACCAGAUGGACCAGCGUUGUAUUAGCUAGUUGGUGAGGUAACGGCUCACCAAGGCAACGCCACGUAGCCGACCUGAGAGGGUGAUCGGCCACACUGGGACUGAGACACGGCCCAGACUCCUACGGGAGGCAGCAGUAGGGAAUCUUCGGCAAUGGGCGGAAGUCUGACCGAGCAACGCCGCGUGAGUGAAGAAGGUUUUCGGAUCGUAAAGCUCUGUUGAAGAGAAGAACGAGUGUGAGAGUGGAAAGUUCACGCUGUGACGGUAACUUACCAGAAAAGGACGGCUAACUUCGUG
rnacentral:rRNA from 1 species